rnacentral:rRNA from 1 species
UCAGGAUUGUUAAUCUGCGAACUCAAGGUUCUAUCAGGCGAGUAGGUUCAAGCAUCGUCUGCUAUCAUCUACUAGCGAUAGAUGAUGGUCACCAUCCAGUCUUAGGGAAUCAAGUUUGGUUCUGGAGGAGUAUGUGCAGACUGAAACUUAAGAAAUUGACGAAGGGCACACAGGAGUGGAGCUGCGGCUUAAUUUGACUCAACACGGGGAAACUUACCAGUCCAGACAUAGUAAGGAUUGACAGAUUGAUAGCUCUUUCUUGAUUCUAUGGGUGGUGGUGCAUGGCCCGUUCUUAGUUGGUGGAGUGAUUUGUCCGGUUAAUUCCGAUAACGAACGAGACCUUAACAUGCUAACUAGAUUCGAUCAUCUUAUGGUCGUUAUCUUCUUAGAGGGACUAUGUAACAUAAAUACAGUGGAAGGUUCGAGGCAGUAACAGGUCAAGUGAUGCCCUUAUAUGUCCUGGGCUGCUCUUCUUGCUACACUGAUGUAUACAACAAGUGCCUAGUCAGACAUGGCAUGGCAAUCUCGAAUAUGCAUCGUGAAUAAAGGAUAGAUCUUUGCAAUUAUAGAUCUUGAACGAGGAAUUCCUAGUAAGUGCAAGUCAUCAUCUUGCAUUGAUUAUGUCCCUGCCCUUUGUACACACCGCCCGUCGCUCCUACCGAUACCGGGUGAUCCGGUGAACCUUUGGACCUCCAAGGGGAAGAUAGUACCCACUCAGAAUGAGACCCGACCCCCGCGAGCAACUGCC